GGAUAAUACCACCAGCCUUCGUGUCCCCACCUCCGGCAACUUGACGAAUCAAGCUUUCGAGAACCUCGCUCUGAUACCAUAUGAAACAACCCGGGUCAAAUCCCGAGCCUUUUUCGAAAAUCGGGUCAAGUCCCGAACUCCGAAUCCGAAAAUAAGCCGAAAUAUACUGGCCCAACUGCAACAACUUGGGUAAUCCACAAGCCCACCACAGGCCCCCAAAAGAUCAUGAUUUGUUGGUGCAAUUGGUAGUAGUACUUAUGCUUAUAAACUGAACUAAAGUCCCCACACUUCUCGAUGUGGGACUGGGGUGUUACAAACUCCCCCACUUAAAUUCCUGACGUCCUCGUCAGGCCGAAACGGAUAGCCCAUAGGCCCAGAUCGAACCUCUCUAGCCAUUGUGGGAUAAUACCGGCUGGCUUCGUGUCCCCGCCUCCGGAUCUCUGUCCAUUGCGGGAUAAUACCACCAGCCUUCGUGUCCCCACCUCCGGCAACUUGACGAAUCAAGCUUUCGAGAGCCUGCUCUGAAUACCAUAUGAAACAACCCGGGUCAAAUCCCGAGCCUUUUUCGAAAAUCGGGUCAAGUCCCGAAAUCCGAAUCCGAAAAUAAGCCCAAAUAUACUGGCCCAACUGCAACAACUUGGGUAAUCCACAAGCCCACCACAGGCCCCCAAAAGAUCAUGAUUUGUUGGUGCAAUUGGUAGUAGUACUUAUGCUUAUAAACUGAACUAAAGUCUCCACACUUCUCGAUGUGGGACUGGGGUGUUACAAACUCCCCCACUUAAAUUCCUGACGUCCUCGUCAGGCCGAAACGGAUAGCCCAUAGGCCCAGAUCGAAC
rnacentral:lncRNA from 1 species